AUUGAACGCUGGCGGCAGGCUUAACACAUGCAAGUCGAACGAGUGGCGGACGGGUGGGUAAUGCAUGGGAAUCUAGCUGAUGGAGGGGGAUAACUACGGGAAACUGUAGCUAAUACCGCGUACCAUAGGCUGAGCCCAAGUGGGAUUAGGUAGGUGGUGAGGUAAAGGCUCACCAAGCCGACGAUCUCUAGCUGGGCUGAGAGGAUGACCAGACACACUGGGACUUAGACACGGCCCAGACUCCUACGGGAGGCAGCAGUGGGGAAUAUUGCGCAAUGGGGGAAACCUGAUGCAGCCAUGCCGCGUGAAUGAAGAAGGCCUUCGGGUUGUAAAGUUCUUUCGGUAGCAAGGCGUUAACUGCAGAAGAAGCACCGGCUAACUCCGUGCCAGCAGCCGCGGUAAUUC
rnacentral:rRNA from 1 species